AAGCACUGAAGUUACUCAAGAGGGUAAACUGAUUAGCUGUUACAGAGAAAAAAGAUUCAGAUUUGUUGAAGCCAGCGUAAUCGGCCGGGUAAAAAUAGAGACGGAGGAAUUUGGUGCCAGAGGAAACAGUGAAAGUGUAUGUGAAUUUCGAUUUGAAAAUACGAGCAUUCAUAUAAGGGACUCUAGAAACUGAAGAAUCUUGUUCAGAGGCUUUGGCUGGUGUGGAUAUGCUUGAACUGUUGGAGGUUAAGGAAUUCAGAUAGUGGAUAUCAGUAUCCCAUCGACGGCCAUCAGAUUCGUCCGUUGAGACUGAUGGUGCUCCACAGUUUAGCAAGAAAUGGACUGUUGCAUUGUACGGUGAUGGCGCGACAGAAAUAGUGGCCGUUAUGAGAUGCAAGAUGAGAAAGGAAAUUAUAGCACUAGUUAACAUGGUGUGGUGUUGUGCAAAAAUUCUGUAAUAUUUGGUAUGCAGACCAAACGAACAAUUAUACUGAACAAUUGCCAUGAAUUGAAGAAGGUUGACUCUCAAGUCAGUUGGUGUUAUAAUUUUUAAUUUGCUAUGGUUGAAAUUAAGUUUAUGUUUACAUUAGAGACACUCCACGAUUGUCAUUGAACAAUACUAUGACAAAUCCUCUUAAAGCUCUCCUUAUACUACCUAGUUUUUCAAUCGCCCAAAAUUCAUUCUGGAUUGCUCUAUCUGAACUCAACAGUAUUCCAGAACCAAUUAAAAAUGCAUCACACACACACAGAAAUCUGACUACAGUAUAGUCUCGAGAGAACCUUAUCUGUUGCAUACAAGAAAAUACGUUCAGAAGAAAACAAGAUGUACAUCUGUGCUGUCAUAAAAAGAAUUUUAUUGCGCUGUUAUUAUAAUUUGGAUGACCAUUUAAAUAAUUAACUCGAUUAUAUAUUAUUCAGAGAGAUUCAAUGGCUUCAGCGCAGAGUGAUGUAAAUUGCCAACUUUGUAGUAGCAAAUAAAGGGCACAAGUAAUUAAUCAUCAUGAAGGAGGAAAGUUACUGUGGCAACCAAUUCCUAGUUGUAGUACUAAUAUGCUAUUCAACUACAUCAAUUAAGUAAAUGGUUAACUGAUUGAAGGACUAAAAAUCAGUGACCCAAGAGUUGACCUCGUCAAAGAAUGCCAGAAAAAUUAAAGGUGCAAGGAUUAGGAAUAAUUGCACUAAAAAUGGUGCCAUAUACUCCAUAAGUUUCAUAUUACUUGAUCCUUAUUGACUCGGCACAUCCGUUGAGACAAUUUUAGUUAGGGAUGUAUUUUUACUAAUUUAAUCUUAUUAAUGAUGCUUUAAAAUUCUAAAUUUGAUUAUUAUUACUUUAUUGAGUUAUUAAUACUAAUAGAAAAAAAAUUAACAAAAUUCUCUUGAUUUCAUAAAUUGGAUAAAUAAAUUGAAACAUUUACUUUUAGCAUAGGGUAAGUAAAACGAAACGAAGCGAGUAUUUUCCUAGGAAAAUACAGAAGGAAAACAAAGAAAUAAAAAAGGCGAGGAAAACUUGCUAAUUGGCUAUUUUUUUCCUUGUAGGCCAUGCAAAUGAAUUAUCCUAAUAACGAUGUUGUCUUUCAUAUUUUCGUAAGUCUUUGUUAUUUUCUGCUAAAUAAUUCCAGUGGAUCAGUAGGUCAUAUAGAGUAAGACAUACAUGAAAUGACAGGUUUUGGAUUAUUUCUUUGGAAUUUGGAUGAUUCUUUGUUAAAUUUUGACCUGACAUUUCCACCUUAACAUGACAUGAGAUGGAAAAAAUAUCCAAUUUUGCAUGUUUAUACGGUCAUCAAAACUCCUAUUAUCCAAUGAUAUGAGAUGUAUUAAUUUUUCCUUUCGACUAUUCCGUGAAAAAAUUGCGGAUCCCUUCUUGUUCAUAUUUGUAUCGACACAUUAAAAAUCCUUAAUUUCAGGUAGAGAAAGAAAUAAGUGCUAAUUAAUGAUUCCAUCCCUUUAUCAAUCUAUCUUUGAUGUAUCAAGCCUAGUCUAAGUGACCCAUUGAAUUAGAUCCGCGUUAAACAAUCCAAAGGAGUACCGUCAACCCCUAAAAGUGUUUUCCCUUCUCGCCCGAAAGAAAAAGAUGUUUAUCAAGACUGCUUGACGCUAGCCAAGUCUCUGUGUUUUUGCACUGUUAAAACGCAAGUGAAAUAGGAAAGAAAAAUAAGCAACUCUGGGCCAUGAAAUAGUAACCUUUUUUUUGUCUCCAUUCUUUUCAUAAUUUCAUUUCUCUAUCUGCAACUCACUCUCAUUCAUUUCCAUGUUUGUUUCUUCUUCUUUAUCCGCUUGAAAAUCUUCUCAGUAGGGCGGGUAUGAAUGGAACUUUAUUAGUUUGCCUAAGAAAAAAUAGUGCGACUAUAUUGUUUGUAUAGCUUGUGAUGAUAGGCUAGUCCCUCCGUCCACUUUUGUAGUUUCUCAUAUCCACUUUUACUCGUUCAGCUUUAAAAAUCAAGAAAUAAUUUAUUAUUUAAUUUUAAUAUAAUUUUUAAAAUAUUAAAUUUAUUAUAUUUAAAUAAUAAAUAAUUAUUCUUUAAGGAUUGGAUAUGUCAAAUCGAUACCGUGCAACUAAAGAUGGACGAGGGAGUAUUCAUCUACCUCAAUUAAAUGGUUUACUGAUUGAAGUUGAUGUCACGAUCAGAGUCGAGGCCCUACCCGCGACGGGCAUCCCGAACCAUGAAGGUCCGAGAUACCCCUUAUCCCAACCUACUAGUGAUAUUGUUCCGAACCACGAAAGCCCGAGAUAUCCCUUGCCCCAACUCACUAGUGAUAUUGUCCGCUUUGGACCUAGGCCUUCACGACUUUAAAAUGCGUCACUAGGAAGUAAGACUUGCUUACUUAUAUACCCAGCACCCCUCUUGUAUUUUGUCGAUGUGGGACUCCUUAUACUAAGUUGGGUGUCACAUACACCACCUCUUAUGGACUCAGCGUCCUCGCUGAGGUUUACCCACCGAAUAAGAUUUGUCUAGACUCAAGACUGAGGUUUGUUCCGUCUUACCGGAAUUUGCCUACACUUUGUUUGAACUCUGGCCCACAUUGACAGGUCUGACACAGGAGAGACUCCGAUACCAUUCUGUCACGACCCAAGCCGAGGCCCUGGCCGCGACAGGCAUCCCGAACCAUCAAGGCCUAAGACACUCCUGUAACUCCCCAACCCACUAGUGAUAUUGUCCGCUUUGGACUCAGGCCCACACGACUUUAAAACGCGUCACUAAAAAAUAAGACUUACUUACUUAUAUACCAAGCAUCCCUCUUAUAUUUUAUUAACGUGAGAUUUUUUAUCUUAAGUUGGAGUGUUAUAUACGCCAUUCCUUAUGGAGUCAGCGUAAAGAUAAGGAAUUAUUGCACUAAAAAUGGGGACCAUAUAAAAGAAAUCAAUAGAAGUAAAAAAGAUGAGGGAAACUUCUUAAUGGGGGCGUCUUGUAUUUGUCUUGUAGGCCAUGAGCAAGACUUUUCUUAAUAUAAUACUCCAUUCGUUUAAAAAAGAACGAUGUAUUUUGACUUGAUAUAAAAUUUAAAAGAUUUUUAAAUUUUAUGAUUUUAAAUUAAAGUUGUGUUAAAUAUGUCAAAAUGUCCUUUAAUCUUUUGAUCAUAAACAUGUCAUGUAGAAAGUUAAAAUUAAAAUAUUGCCAAAAAAGAAAAGAGAUCAUUUUUUUUAAACGGAUUAAAAAGGAAAGUAAUUAUUUUUUUUAAAACGGAGGGAGUAAUAACUUGUUAAAAGUCUGUUAUGCUCAACUCAAUAAUUCCUCCGGCCAUAUAUUGUUAGUAUAGGCAUACGUGAAAUGAAAGGUUUUGAAUUAUUUUCUUUGGAAUUUGGUUGAUUUUUUGUUAAAUUUUGACCCGACUUUUCAACACUGAUAGAAAAUGAAGGAAAUAAAAAAGACGUACUACUAUGUUUAUAUUAACCAAUGAGAUGUACUCUCUUACGACAUUAUUUUAUUGUUUUGAUAAUUCUUUCAAAAGGAUGUGGAUCUACCCGUGUUCAUAUUAGUAUUAUACUCCCCUUCCACUUUUACUUGUCAAUCCAGUGGCGAUAGUUAAGAAUUUUUUAUGUGGGAUGGGUGGAUGGAGGUCGGGGUUUACCAAACGUUGGUGUAUAUUUCUAAAUUGUUUUUGACCCAUAUACACAAUAUUAUUUUUUGUAUGCACAAUAUAACUUUUGAAAGGACGUUGGAGUGACUAUUUUUGAGUCAAUGAAGCUAUAUAUGCCUCUGUUUGUCACAUUUCGCUGUUAAAUUGUAUGUACUUGGUGAGUAGUACUGUGAGAAUGACGACUGCACAUCAAGUGAGAGUUGUGAAUUUCAUAAGGUAAGCAAACAAAUAAUUACUUGUUGUAAAGUAAUUAAUAAUUCCGUCCUUCGGUUUGGUUUAUUUUAUUUAGUAAGGCUGCCAAUAAGUCUCGUCUUUUUUGUUUUUGCACUGUUUGGACGCAAGUGAACUGACGGGGACACGGGGUAGAUGCAAAACAAACAAAGAUGAAGAAAAGUAGCUACUCUAGUAGUCUUAUUUAUUAUAUAUACUGGGCCAUAUAAUAGCAACAUUUUCUUGUCCCAUUCCUUUCAUCUGCUAUACAUGACUCAUUCAUUUUGAUAUUGUUUCUUUUUCUUGAUUCAUUUUGAUGUUGUUUCUUUUUCUUGAUGUGAUUUGUUUUUGGUUUUCUGCUUAAAAAUCGACCGUAGGGCAGUAUGAAUGGAACUUAACUAGUCUGCCCAAGAAAAAAUAGUGAAACUAUCGUAUAGCUUAUACACUUCUGAAUAUUCGCUACAAUACAUCGAUAUUAAUAAGGAGACAAAUUCAAUAAAGGAAAAAGAAACAGAGAAAGAGCUAAUAUGCAACUUAUGUAUGUAACAAUCUCAUCGACCCGUUGGAUUCAAAAUCUCAGAGAAAAUGGUAUCACUCUUCAGCUUGUCAUCACUACUGGUCAUGGAUGUACCACUGCUGGUUGAUUUUCCUCCAACUUCAUAUGAACCUGAAAAGGCCUCGCCUUCAUCUGUAGAUAUAUUGGUAUGACCAUUCACAAUCAAGGGGAAAGACGGGCUAGCUGGGUAACUGUUCCCUUCCAUUUUGUGACCUCUAUUAUCUGCUGCAUCUUGAAGCUUUAAUACAAAUUCUAAAUUCCAGACAACAUCGCCCAUUGAUGGCCUUUGAACCCCCUGAUCCUUCAAGCAAUUAUAUGCUACUUCUGCAAACUUGUUUAAGCACUCCGGGGCAAUUUGUCCUUCCAAAGUCGGAUCAAUUAUCUGUUCAAGAUUUCCUUUUUUACAGCACCUACAAGCCCAAUCAGCCAAAUUCACUUGCCCUUUCGGCAUUCUAGGCAUUAAUGCUGGCCUAGCGCACAACACUUCGAAUAACACCACCCCAAAAGAAUACACAUCAGAUUUUUCUGUUAAUUGUUGUCGCUUAUAGUAUUCAGGAUCAACAUACCCAAAGCUUCCUUUCACAGCAGUGCUAACAUGGGUAUUUUCUGACCCACCAAGCGGACCAAUCUUGGAUAAUCCAAAAUCUGACACCUUAGCAACCCAUUUAUCAUCCAAUAAAAUGUUGGUCGACUUGACAUCUCGAUGAAUAAUGGUGUGCUUUGUACCUGUGAAAGUAAAUCUAACGAUCAUGAAUUUUAUCUACUAUAGAUGACAAUAGAUUCAAAAGUAUCAUUAAUCACGUCAAAACAUUCAAAUUUUAAUCUACUAGAAAAGCAAAUCAUUAUAUAUUAACAUUACCUACUAGUGACAAUCAAAACCUACCCAUCAAGGUGACUUUACUGUUUAAGUGCGCAAAGUUUAGUUACUUCAAUAUGAUUAAAUAAUAUACAAGUUUACUGUUAUACCGUAUAAAGUUCAGUGACUAUGAGUGAGAUUAAAUGUAUACCUGUAUGGAGAUAACACAAUCCUUUUGCUGCGCCAAUGCAAAUCUCAAGGCGUUUCCUCCAUGGAAGAGGAGCAUUAUCAGCUUUGUACAAGUGAUCACGGAGAGUUCCAUGAGCCAUGUAAUCAUAAACCAAAAUCAUCUCAUUGUUAUCAUCACAAUAACCAAUUAAGGAUACCAAAUGCAGAUGUCUUAGCUUUGAUAACAUGUGAAUCUCUGUCUCAAACUCGCGAACUCCUUGCUUUGAUGAAGGAUUCAAUCUCUUGAUUGCAACUGUGGUUGUGCCGUUGUCUAUGUACCCUUUGUACACAUUACCGAAACCUCCAUACCCAAUCACAAAAUUGUCAUCAAAAUUUCCUGUUGCAGCUUUUAUCUCCUCCAGUAAAAAGUGUCGGCACAGAUUGGAGGGUAAUGAUGAUGAGCCUGACCCGCUGGUCCUUUGGGUUGAGUUCGAUGUAAUUGAUAAAGGGAUCCACGAUGAUUUUGUAACGCUUGUAUGCAGAUCCUUUCCCUUUUUCCUCCGCUGGAAAAUCAAGAAACAUAGAAUUGACAACAGAGCAAUUCCACUAAUCACACCUGCUGUGAUAACAACAAAGACAUGCCAUUUCUUUUUCUUUUUUUCCUUUGGGGUUGAAUUCUCUGGAACUUCUAACCGCGAUUCAGGAUUUGGGACGGAAAAAUUUCCUUUUCGAUCGCUCAACUUGAAAAUUUCUAAGCCAUUUAAGAUAGCAUUUUCAUACACAGCUUUUGUUUCCAUGUUAGGUCGCAAUUCAAGCGACACAUCUUUCUUGCCUCGUCGGCCAUCUGGAUCUCUCACAAACACCACGUAGUCUGUGUACAUCGGGACUCUCCAGCCGCGACUCCGUUGAAUCACAUCGACUAGUUGAUCUGCCGUUUGGUUUCCAAUGAGUAUAUCGAAAACCCGAUAGUUCUGUUCCUUAACUUCCAGCUGAAUCUCACAAAAAUGGAGCCUGAAAAGAUAGUAGAACCCAGCGUCAAGAGGAAAAAUCCAAUCCAGGCUCUGGCUGUAAUUGGCGAUGGUCCUAGAGGUUGUGUAAACUAUGUUUGGCGCCGUAUAAGCCGGGGUUUCAGAAGUGUAAUUAAUGUUGACAUCUAUAUGAGGAGUUUGAUAGUCAUAUCCAACAACAAAGUCUUCAUCUGAAUCCCAUACCCGAUACAUGCCUGUAUCCCCUGUGCUCGAAACCAAAUUGCCUCCCACGUUCAGCCUGUACACAUUUUCAAGAGCAGUGCUGUUAUUGAUGUAAUAAAGAUUAUACUGCCCCACCAAUAUGAUGCCACCACUAUCUUCACGGAGAUAAAGAUCAGUUGGCAUGGAAACAAUCUCGAUCCCAUUAACAAAAGCGUAAGAGUUCGGCGAAGGAGAAAAGGUUAUAUUGAGUAUCUGAGUUUCAUCAACAUUGAUGACAUAUUCUUUUUGAAUUUUUAAACUAGAAUCGGUACUUGCAGCGACCGUGAGGAAAGCGCUGAAGUUACUCAAGAGGGUAAACUGAUUAGCUGUUACAGAGAAAAAGGAUUCGGAUUUGUUGAAGCCAAGGUAUGUGGUGGGGUAAAAAUAGAGACGGAGGAAACUAGUGCCAGGAGGAACACGGAAAGGGUAGGUGAAUUUAGAUUUGAAAAUACGAGCAUUCGUAUAAGGGACUCUAGAAACUGAAGAGUCUUGUUCAGAGGCUGUGGCUGGUGAUGAUAUGGUUGAUGAAUUGGAAGGUAACAAAUUGGGAUAGUGGGUAUCAGUAUCCCAUCGACGGCCAUCUUCAUCAGUGGCGACUGAUGGUGCGCCACAGUUGAGCAAGAAAUAUACUGUGGCAUUAUACGAUGAAGGCGUGACAGAAAUAGUGGCCGUUAUGAGUUGUAAGAGGAGAAAUGAAAUCAAAGCAAUGGCAACCAUGGUUGUGGUGGUUAUGAAAGUAAAAUACUACUAUGGAUUUGGUGUGUAGAUAGAUAUUAGUUAGAUGAAGUAAUAAUUAUACUCAACAAUAGCAAAGACUUGAGGGUUGACUCUCAAGUCAUUUUUGCUACUGUAAUUCUUAAUUUUGUAUGGCUGAAAGCCGACGUAGACCGAAAUAGUGUCCUUUGUCAUCAUUCGUUUAUUUUACUUUUUUGUUCAAGUAUUGUACAAAAUGAAAUAGCCUAGUAUUCAGUCUUCCGUACUUCUUGUGUUAUUAUAUAAUACUUAGUCUUUUUUUAAUUCAUUUAAAAAAGAAUGUUAAAUUUUUUUUUUUUUUUUUUGCUAACUAUUUAAAGAUAGAAUUUCAUGUUUACUCUUAUUGAUCCCACUUAUAAUGACCGACUUAAUUAAAAAUAGUAGUAGUAUAUUUUUUUAAUAAAAGAUAAUUUGAUAAAAAUUCAUCAAGUCUUUUCUUAUUUAUUAAACUCUAUAGUCUAUAUCCAGUCAAACUAUGACACAUAAAAUAAAACGCAGAAAGCAUUAUUUUCCUUUAUAAGUACUCACUGUAGCCCAACUUUCAUGACAUCGAUAAACUUUGACAAAGUAUUUAAGAAAUAAAGAAAUACGUUGAAAAUUUAUAGUCUAAAAUAAAUAUUUUAUUAUAAAAAUGGAAGUUUAAAGUUAAUUUAUUUUUGUUUAUAGAAAUAUGGCAUUUUUUGGGGAUAAAUUAAAACAAAAUGAGUCAUAGAAGUUGGAAUAACGAGAGUAAUUAAUUGACAAGAAAAGAUCAAUAUAUUUCAUUUAAGAAAUGAGUUAACUUUAAAUUUUUAGUUUUAAUAAGUAAUUUAUAGUCAGACAAGAAAGCAAAUCAUUAUAUAUUAACAUUACCUACUAGUGACAAUCAAAACCUACCCAUCAAGGUGACUUUACUGUUUAAGUGCGCAAAGUUUAGUUACUUCAAUAUGAUUAAAUAAUAUACAAGUUUACUGUUAUACCGUAUAAAGUUCAGUGACUAUGAGUGAGAUUAAAUGUAUACCUGUAUGGAGAUAACACAAUCCUUUUGCUGCGCCAAUGCAAAUCUCAAGGCGUUUCCUCCAUGGAAGAGGAGCAUUAUCAGCUUUGUACAAGUGAUCACGGAGAGUUCCAUGAGCCAUGUAAUCAUAAACCAAAAUCAUCUCAUUGUUAUCAUCACAAUAACCAAUUAAGGAUACCAAAUGCAGAUGUCUUAGCUUUGAUAACAUGUGAAUCUCUGUCUCAAACUCGCGAACUCCUUGCUUUGAUGAAGGAUUCAAUCUCUUGAUUGCAACUGUGGUUGUGCCGUUGUCUAUGUACCCUUUGUACACAUUACCGAAACCUCCAUACCCAAUCACAAAAUUGUCAUCAAAAUUUCCUGUUGCAGCUUUUAUCUCCUCCAGUAAAAAGUGUCGAGGGUAAUGAUGAUGAGCCUGACCCGCUGGUCCUUUGGGUUGAGUUCGAUGUAAUUGAUAAAGGGAUCCACGAUGAUUUUGUAACGCUUGUAUGCAGAUCCUUUCCCUUUUUCCUCCGCUGGAAAAUCAAGAAACAUAGAAUUGACAACAGAGCAAUUCCACUAAUCACACCUGCUGUGAUAACAACAAAGACAUGCCAUUUCUUUUUCUUUUUUUCCUUUGGGGUUGAAUUCUCUGGAACUUCUAACCGCGAUUCAGGAUUUGGGACGGAAAAAUUUCCUUUUCGAUCGCUCAACUUGAAAAUUUCUAAGCCAUUUAAGAUAGCAUUUUCAUACACAGCUUUUGUUUCCAUGUUAGGUCGCAAUUCAAGCGACACAUCUUUCUUGCCUCGUCGGCCAUCUGGAUCUCUCACAAACACCACGUAGUCUGUGUACAUCGGGACUCUCCAGCCGCGACUCCGUUGAAUCACAUCGACUAGUUGAUCUGCCGUUUGGUUUCCAAUGAGUAUAUCGAAAACCCGAUAGUUCUGUUCCUUAACUUCCAGCUGAAUCUCACAAAAAUGGAGCCUGAAAAGAUAGUAGAACCCAGCGUCAAGAGGAAAAAUCCAAUCCAGGCUCUGGCUGUAAUUGGCGAUGGUCCUAGAGGUUGUGUAAACUAUGUUUGGCGCCGUAUAAGCCGGGGUUUCAGAAGUGUAAUUAAUGUUGACAUCUAUAUGAGGAGUUUGAUAGUCAUAUCCAACAACAAAGUCUUCAUCUGAAUCCCAUACCCGAUACAUGCCUGUAUCCCCUGUGCUCGAAACCAAAUUGCCUCCCACGUUCAGCCUGUACACAUUUUCAAGAGCAGUGCUGUUAUUGAUGUAAUAAAGAUUAUACUGCCCCACCAAUAUGAUGCCACCACUAUCUUCACGGAGAUAAAGAUCAGUUGGCAUGGAAACAAUCUCGAUCCCAUUAACAAAAGCGUAAGAGUUCGGCGAAGGAGAAAAGGUUAUAUUGAGUAUCUGAGUUUCAUCAACAUUGAUGACAUAUUCUUUUUGAAUUUUUAAACUAGAAUCGGUACUUGCAGCGACCGUGAGGAAAGCGCUGAAGUUACUCAAGAGGGUAAACUGAUUAGCUGUUACAGAGAAAAAGGAUUCGGAUUUGUUGAAGCCAAGGUAUGUGGUGGGGUAAAAAUAGAGACGGAGGAAACUAGUGCCAGGAGGAACACGGAAAGGGUAGGUGAAUUUAGAUUUGAAAAUACGAGCAUUCGUAUAAGGGACUCUAGAAACUGAAGAGUCUUGUUCAGAGGCUGUGGCUGGUGAUGAUAUGGUUGAUGAAUUGGAAGGUAACAAAUUGGGAUAGUGGGUAUCAGUAUCCCAUCGACGGCCAUCUUCAUCAGUGGCGACUGAUGGUGCGCCACAGUUGAGCAAGAAAUAUACUGUGGCAUUAUACGAUGAAGGCGUGACAGAAAUAGUGGCCGUUAUGAGUUGUAAGA
rnacentral:lncRNA from 1 species